rnacentral:rRNA from 1 species
GAACAGCAACUUGAAGGAAUGAAAGGCAAUAGCCGAUUGCAUUAAAUUUUUAAUGUAGUUACUACUAGGUAGUUUAAAUUUCUAGGUAGAAUUAUGAUGAUGACAUUAUCUAUCUAUAGGUCUUGACCAAAUUACGUGCCAGCAGUCGCGGUAAUACGUAGAAGACGAGUGUUAUUCAUCUUUAUUGGGUUUAAAGAGUACCAAGACGGUUAAUAAAGCCCAGAAAUACAUGAGCACAGGGGACACAUUAACUAGAGUUAUAUGAAAGGAAGCAUUAAAGUACUGCUGAGUGUAGAGAUAAAAUUCGUUAAUACCUUUAAAGGCACAGAUUUAUGCGAAGGCAUCUUCUUAUGUAAUAACUGACGUUGUAGGACGAAGGCUUUUGGAGUGAAGAGGAUUAGAGACCCUUGUAAUCUAAGCAGAAAACGAUGAAUGUCAUAGGUUUAGUAUAUACACCAAAAAAAAAAUGGUCGAUGUAUUAUUGGGUCUAUAAAUGAAAGUGUAAGCAUUCCACCUCAAGAGUAAUUUGGCAACAUUGGAACUGAAAUCAUUAGACCGUUUCUGAAACCAGUAGUGAAGUAUGUUGUUUAAUUAGAUGAUACACAAAGAACCUUACCACAAUUUGAAUAUAUAUCAUUAAUGAUAUUUACAAGCGUUGCACGGCUGUCUUCAGUUAAUGUCGUGAGGCUAUGGUUAGUUCCAUAAAAUUAACGUAAACCCUCGUUUUAUUUAUAAAUAAAAUUUACAAUCUGCUUCGUAUUAAUUUGAUAUUAGAAAAGGGACUAAGACAAGUCAUCAUGC